UUUUAUUUUUUUGGCAGGGAGCAACACCAAAGGAUGGACCAAGUGCAGGAUGUACCAUAGUAACAGCACUGCUGUCACUGGCCAUGGAUUGCCCAGUGAGGCAGAAUGUGGCCAUGACUGGAGAGGUGUCCUUAACUGGGAAAAUUCUUCCUGUGGGUGGAAUCAAGGAGAAGACCAUUGCAGCGAAGAGGGCAGGUGUUACCUGCAUCAUUUUGCCGUCAGAGAAUAAAAAGGAUUAUUAUGACCUUGCUGGAUUCAUCACAGAAGGACUGGAAGUGCAUUUUGUUGAGCACUACAAGGAGGUAUUCGAUAUAGCGUUUCCAAAACAGGAUUCGGCUGCAGGAUGAUGCCCAACACCUGGGGCUGGAGGGAGGUUUGUCCCUCAGUGCUCUGCCUGACAUGGGCUGAUCCUGACGUGGGACACGGAGCUAUUGCUGCUGCGCAGCUGCUGAAGUGAGCGAGGGCUUUGGUCAAAUGAUGUAUUUCUCCCCCUUUAAUACUGAAUUACGAUCCAACUUAAGUAUUUCCAAUAAAAUGAAGUUGUGAGAUUUUA